rnacentral:rRNA from 1 species
GAUGAACGCUGGCGGCGUGCCUAAUACAUGCAAGUCGAUCGAACAGACUAGGCGCUUGCUCCUCUGUCGUUAGCGGCGGACGGGUGAGUAACACGUGGAUAACCUACCUAUAAGACUGGGAUAACUUCGGGAAACCGGCGCUAAUACCGGAUAAUAUAUUGAACCGCAUGGUUCAAUAGUGAAAGACGGUUUUGCUGUCACUUAUCGAUGGAUCCGCGCCGCAUUAGCUAGUUGGUAAGGUAACGGCUUACAAAGGCAACGAUGCGUAGCCGACCGGAGAGGGGGGUAGGGCCCACUGGAAAGUGACACACGACCAGGACACAGAGGGAAGGCACAGAAAGGAAAUGUGCGCAAAGGGGGGAAAGCUUAAGGAAGAAACGCAAGAGGGGGGAUGAGGGUCUUCGAUCGGAAAAACCUUUUAAUAGGGAAAAACAAAUGUUGAAAGUAACGAUCAAGGCCUGACGGUAACUUAUCAAGAAGCCAAGGCUAACUACGUG